AAAUUCUGAAGAUAAAUGACAUACAAGUGCCAAAUUUGCAGUUCCAAAAUGAAGAGUUCUACAUUCAAAAAAAGGAUGAGAAAGGAUGUUAUUUGAGCUAGACCUUCAAGCACAAGAGGAAUUCCGAUAAGUAUGAGGCACUGGAAAAUUAUUAUAGUCAAGGAUAAUGGCAAAAGCAGAGAAUAAAGGCAGGAAGGGGCAUGUAGUGAUCAGAAGCCAAAACAAAACAAAAAUCAGUGGGCAGAUACAUUCUUUAGAACAACUCGCCUGAGACCAAUUGUUGAAGUUACAUGUAUUGGUAUGACCAUUUCCACCUGACAGCAAAUGCAAGGGAACCAUAAAUACCACACGUUUGGCAAUGGGAACCUACAAUUAUGACUCAAAUGCCCCUAACUUCAAUAAAAGGGAAAUGAACUAUGAAAUUAUUGAAGGAAGCAGUAUAUGAAAAUGAAGGCAUAGAUACUCCAUUCAAAUCUC
rnacentral:lncRNA from 1 species